ACCAUGUAAGGGAAGAGAAAGGUACAGAUGUGAGAGGUGGGGAGGUGGAAUAGGACAAGACUUUGACAACUGGAUUGGGAAAUGGAGAUUCAAAGACAACUCUAAGAUGGUGAACAUGGGUGAUUAGAAGAAUGGUGGUACUUUCACCAAAAAUAGGGAAAUCUGAAAGAGGAAAAGAUUUAGGGGAAAAGGUAAUGAAUUUUGCUCUGGACAUGUUGAGUUUGAGUUGCUUGGAGGACUUGUAGGUAGAAUUAUGCAGCAGGCUGUUAGAGAUGGAGGCCUGGGGCUCAGGAAUGUGAUAAGCAAUGGGUAUGUCUAUUUGGGAGUCAUCUGCAUUGAAUUGAUCAUUAAAUCCAUUGGAUAUGAUAAGAUCAUUGAGAAGGAAUGUAGAGAGAAAUCAAGCAUUUAGGCCAAAGUCUUAAGAGAUACCAUUGCAUCAGUAAUGACCUACCAAAGGAGACUGAAAAGGAAUAGAAGAAGGAGGACCAGAAGAGAAGAAUUGUCACGAAAGCAAAGGGAGGAGAGAUGACCCAUGAAGAAGGAAUUAUCAACUGUGUCAAAAGCGACAGAGAUUACAGGAUCAUAGGAUGAGGGGUUUAGAGCUGGAAAUGACAUUAGAACUAAUCUAGUCAAAAUCUCAUUUUACAGAUGAAGAAACUCAGGCCUAGUGUAGUCAAGUAACGUGGCCCUGGAUUUACAAGGGUCUAGAGCAAGAAAAAAAAACCCUACAGAGCUGAGGAGAGCCCCUUCAAAGACUGGAGACCAAGAAAACAAGGCUAAAUAAACCAGUUCUUUGAGGAUCUUCACAAUUCUGGAUACUCUUCUCUGGACUUUCUCCAGCUUAACCACAUCCUUCCUAAAAUGGGACACCUAGGACCAAAUAUGAUACUCCAGAUAAGGUCUGACCAGGGCAGACUACAGGAGUCUCAACACCUCCUUAUCCCUGGACACCCUGCUUAGUCACAUCUCUCUCACCAAAUCACCUCAACACAGCUUCUCUCUGUCUGCAGGCCUCCCCUCCCCCAGAAAGGACACCCCAGUGCUGCAGCUCUCCACCAUGUCCCUGGCUUUCAGCAAAUGUUUGUAGAGCCUGAAGGUCCUUCUCUGCUCCUAAAAUCCAAAGCACUGGGGUUAGAAGGAAGUUCAGGGAAAGGAGUCACUAGGAGAAGAGCUCUUCAGAGGAGGGGUGUGAAUUGACUUGCCCUGAGCAAG